rfam:Klebsiella pneumoniae subsp. pneumoniae DSM 30104 Contig00018, whole genome shotgun sequence.
GGUUAAGCGACUAAGCGUACACGGUGGAUGCCCUGGCAGUCAGAGGCGAUGAAGGACGUGCUAAUCUGCGAAAAGCGUCGGUAAGGUGAUAUGAACCGUUAUAACCGGCGAUGUCCGAAUGGGGAAACCCAGUGCAAUUCGUUGCACUAUCGUUAACUGAAUACAUAGGUUAACGAGGCGAACCGGGGGAACUGAAACAUCUAAGUACCCCGAGGAAAAGAAAUCAACCGAGAUUCCCCCAGUAGCGGCGAGCGAACGGGGAGCAGCCCAGAGUCUGAAUCAGCUUGUGUGUUAGUGGAACGGUCUGGAAAGUCCGACGGUACAGGGUGAUAGUCCCGUACACCAAAAUGCACAGGCUGUGAACUCGAAGAGUAGGGCGGGACACGUGGUAUCCUGUCUGAAUAUGGGGGGACCAUCCUCCAAGGCUAAAUACUCCUGACUGACCGAUAGUGAACCAGUACCGUGAGGGAAAGGCGAAAAGAACCCCGGCGAGGGGAGUGAAAAAGAACCUGAAACCGUGUACGUACAAGCAGUGGGAGCACCUUCGGGUGUGACUGCGUACCUUUUGUAUAAUGGGUCAGCGACUUAUAUUCUGUAGCAAGGUUAACCGUAUAGGGGAGCCGCAGGGAAACCGAGUCUUAACUGGGCGUUAAGUUGCAGGGUAUAGACCCGAAACCCGGUGAUCUAGCCAUGGGCAGGUUGAAGGUUGGGUAACACUAACUGGAGGACCGAACCGACUAAUGUUGAAAAAUUAGCGGAUGACUUGUGGCUGGGGGUGAAAGGCCAAUCAAACCGGGAGAUAGCUGGUUCUCCCCGAAAGCUAUUUAGGUAGCGCCUCGUGAAUUCAUCUUCGGGGGUAGAGCACUGUUUCGGCUAGGGGGUCAUCCCGACUUACCAACCCGAUGCAAACUACGAAUACCGAAGAAUGUUAUCACGGGAGACACACGGCGGGUGCUAACGUCCGUCGUGAAGAGGGAAACAACCCAGACCGCCAGCUAAGGUCCCAAAGUCAUGGUUAAGUGGGAAACGAUGUGGGAAGGCACAGACAGCCAGGAUGUUGGCUUAGAAGCAGCCAUCAUUUAAAGAAAGCGUAAUAGCUCACUGGUCGAGUCGGCCUGCGCGGAAGAUGUAACGGGGCUAAACCAUGCACCGAAGCUGCGGCAGCGACACUAUGUGUUGUUGGGUAGGGGAGCGUUCUGUAAGCCUGCGAAGGUGUGCUGUGAGGCAUGCUGGAGGUAUCAGAAGUGCGAAUGCUGACAUAAGUAACGAUAAAGCGGGUGAAAAGCCCGCUCGCCGGAAGACCAAGGGUUCCUGUCCAACGUUAAUCGGGGCAGGGUGAGUCGACCCCUAAGGCGAGGCCGAAAGGCGUAGUCGAUGGGAAACAGGUUAAUAUUCCUGUACUUGGUGUUACUGCGAAGGGGGGACGGAGAAGGCUAUGUUAGCCGGGCGACGGUUGUCCCGGUUUAAGCAUGUAGGCUGGUUGUCCAGGCAAAUCCGGAUAAUCAAGGCUGAGGUGUGAUGACGAGGCACUACGGUGCUGAAGUAACAAAUGCCCUGCUUCCAGGAAAAGCCUCUAAGCAUCAGGUAACAUCAAAUCGUACCCCAAACCGACACAGGUGGUCAGGUAGAGAAUACCAAGGCGCUUGAGAUAACUCGGGUGAAGGAACUAGGCAAAAUGGUGCCGUAACUUCGGGAGAAGGCACGCUGGUGUGUAGGUGAAGCCCCUGCGGGUGGAGCUGAGACCAGUCGAAGAUACCAGCUGGCUGCAACUGUUUAUUAAAAACACAGCACUGUGCAAACACGAAAGUGGACGUAUACGGUGUGACGCCUGCCCGGUGCCGGAAGGUUAAUUGAUGGGGUUAUCCGUAAGGAGAAGCUCUUGAUCGAAGCCCCGGUAAACGGCGGCCGUAACUAUAACGGUCCUAAGGUAGCGAAAUUCCUUGUCGGGUAAGUUCCGACCUGCACGAAUGGCGUAAUGAUGGCCAGGCUGUCUCCACCCGAGACUCAGUGAAAUUGAACUCGCUGUGAAGAUGCAGUGUACCCGCGGCAAGACGGAAAGACCCCGUGAACCUUUACUAUAGCUUGACACUGAACAUUGAGCCUUGAUGUGUAGGAUAGGUGGGAGGCUUUGAAGCGUGGACGCCAGUCUGCGUGGAGCCAACCUUGAAAUACCACCCUUUAAUGUUUGAUGUUCUAACGUUGGCCCCUUACCGGGGUUGCGGACAGUGUCUGGUGGGUAGUUUGACUGGGGCGGUCUCCUCCCAAAGCGUAACGGAGGAGCACGAAGGUUAGCUAAUCCUGGUCGGACAUCAGGAGGUUAGUGCAAUGGCAUAAGCUAGCUUGACUGCGAGCGUGACGGCGCGAGCAGGUGCGAAAGCAGGUCAUAGUGAUCCGGUGGUUCUGAAUGGAAGGGCCAUCGCUCAACGGAUAAAAGGUACUCCGGGGAUAACAGGCUGAUACCGCCCAAGAGUUCAUAUCGACGGCGGUGUUUGGCACCUCGAUGUCGGCUCAUCACAUCCUGGGGCUGAAGUAGGUCCCAAGGGUAUGGCUGUUCGCCAUUUAAAGUGGUACGCGAGCUGGGUUUAGAACGUCGUGAGACAGUUCGGUCCCUAUCUGCCGUGGGCGCUGGAGAAUUGAGGGGGGCUGCUCCUAGUACGAGAGGACCGGAGUGGACGCAUCACUGGUGUUCGGGUUGUCAUGCCAAUGGCACUGCCCGGUAGCUAAAUGCGGAAGAGAUAAGUGCUGAAAGCAUCUAAGCACGAAACUUGCCCCGAGAUGAGUUCUCCCUGAGACUUUAAGUCUCCUGAAGGAACGUUGAAGACGACGACGUUGAUAGGCCGGGUGUGUAAGCGCAGCGAUGCGUUGAGCUAACCGGUACUAAUGAACCGUGAGGCUUAACCUU